AAACUUACAUGGACAGGGAACUACCUUGGUCAGGAAGGUGGUUCCAUGGCAGUUUAGCUUUUGUGUUUUGUAUGAAUGAUCUCUGCCAUUUUUCCAAAUAUGAGAAACUUAAUGGCAGGAUCUGUGGAAAAGAUAUAAUAUUCACUGUCCC
ensembl:snRNA U1 U1 spliceosomal RNA